GAAGCUAUAGUGAGCAUUUGUCAACAAAGAUUGAUUGCCCCUCCAUGUUGCCAGCUCUUGAGGAUUUCUUUCACCUUCUUCUUGAUCAAAAUGGAUCCACCACCUAAAAGCCCCCCAUGCAUUUCAUGAUUGAUACUUAAGGAAGGAGCAAGCGACACUUCAUAGGGCACCUUCACCACCCAUACAGUCUACCCACUCCGUCUAGAAUUUCUGGAAAACAGUGUGAAAAAACACAUUGAUGAAGUAAUAGAAGUUGAUACGGUGAGGAUUGCUAAGUACAAUCUUUCUCCUGCAUGUUGCUCCUCAU